rnacentral:tRNA from 1 species
UCCCCAGUAGCACAGUUGGUAGUUGCGCCGGACUGUUAAUCCGGAUGUCGCAGGUUCGAGCCCUGCCUGGGGAGCCA